UUCAAAAUGAACUUCUUUAGUAAACAAUUUUCAAAUGAGUCUAGAUAACUUUUCUACUACCCUAUAAAAGAAAGAAAGGGCGGAGAACCAAGUCAUCCUAUUCAUUUAAACCUGUAAUUUAAAGACCUAUAUUCCUCCAAAACAUUAAACACGUUUUAUACUUUAAUUAUCCACCAAUGCCAUUGGGUUACAAACGCGUUCCUAUCGCACGAAAGGAAACUCACAAGGCAACCGCCUCCUCGCCCCGCCUUCCCUGAUCCACUAUCCUUUCGCACGAAAGGAAGUUCUUCACAAGGUAACCGCCGCACAGCCGUGCACGCCGCCACCCACUGCCUCGCGCCGACCACAUCGGCACACCGCCAAGCCGUCGCACCGUCAGGACGCCGGCCACAUCGCCAAGCCGCCGCACCUUCAGGACGCCGGCCACAUCGCCAAGCCGCUGCACCUUCAGGACGCCGGCCGCAUCGCCGAGCCGCCGCACCUUCAGGCCACCGGCCACAUCGCCGAGCCGCCGCGCCUUCAGGACGCCGGCCACAUCGCCUCGAGUCGGCGCCUUCAGGACGCCGGCCACCACAUCGCCUCGAGCCGGCGCCUUCAGGACACCGGCCACAUCGCCUCGAGCCGCCGGCCCCAUCGCCGAGCCGCCACACCUUCACACCGCCGCCCCCAUGGCCUAGAGCCCCCGCACCUUCAGGUCACCUCCCCAUCGCCUCGGCCAUCAGCGACGCCGCCUAAAACGCCUCGGCUCGGCCAUCAGCGACAUCGUCAGUUGACAUCUCCCUGUCAUCUCGCAAAGUCAGGGGACACGCCACCUUGACGCACACAGCUGCGGGGCCGGAGGUCUUUCAUCUCUGCUUUCUUUUAUUUUUUCAGUGACAUGCUGCUUCAAAUUUGAUAGAUUGAUUCACGUUUCACUUACCUGAGUUUGCCACGGUUUCUAAACUGGAUAAAACUGAAAAGCAACCCUGUCAAGUGUUAACACAGUUUAACAAACUCUUCAAUCGAUGAUUACAAUGCACACAUUCAGCAGUUCAGCUUCAUUAUUAUUGUCAUUUUCAUUGCUUGAAUUUUGCUCACCCAUGUUUAUGAUCAUAUUAUAUUGAGAUUUCACUGAUUUUAUGCACAAAUCUCGAAGACGGUAAAUAUUCAUUCGGGUGCUUCUCUGUUACGAUCAAGGGAUCGUUCCUAGAUUAGGGACCUUGCAAACAAGUCUACAACAGCGAAUGAAAAUCACGCGGGAUAUAAAACCACAGGGCAAUCAAGGAUGAUAUGCACGAAUGUCUGCUGAUAAAAAGGAGGAAUACCUCAAGAACCGACAUCAGCCACGCGCAGAAAAGAAGGUCGCAACUCUUAUUAGUGCCAACUAUCAGCAAGUAUCUCAAGAACAUGCUUCUUCAUUUUUGUCUCUGCAACGUACCCCUUUGAGAAAUAUAACCAACACACAAAAAUAUGUAAGUACAGCUGCAAGCUCUGGAAGUAUUGAUCAUCAACCUGCAGAUAUCAAUGUUGGAUGCGAAAAACAAAGGGGGCAGGGGUGGUAAUCCCGUUUGUCCCAAGAGAAUAAAGCACAACACCUACAUAAGCUCCGGCUGGCCCGACUAGAAACGAAAGCUGCAGCAAAAAGUGUCAAUGUUGAUGUUCCUCAAUCCCGUGCCCCUCAUGGUUCCACAGGUAAUAUCUCCUAUCUGGUAUAUUCAUUGCCUUCGGGUGUAUCUACACUGAUGGAAAAUGUAAUCAUGAUUUAUGUGAUCUCUGAGCGAUUUCUUGGACGCGACCACUGCCGGUCCACUCCACUCGUGGACAUGGCGGCCUUAACACCAUCGCCGUCCCCAGGCUGACCUACUCCUAGCGUGUACGACACGAUCUCGACGUCGUUGAACCUCAACAGCUCGACGCCACCCAUGAUUCAGGUAAUUAGGUUUGUGAAGGUAGGCUACUACAUACCACUUGCAAAAGGAUCAGUUGAUUUUUUUUCCUUUAUUUUGUAGAAGAUGCGACUCCAAAUAUUUUUGCUUUAUGCAUGACUACUCUACAUGCGUAUUUGGGUAGUAAUAUUUAUUUGAUCACUGGAUGUGAUUUGGAGGUGUGCUCAGUUUUGUUUUAGCAUGCUCAGAUUUGACCUGAAUCGUAUCUUAUGUACCAUCAGCCUAAUUACUUGGCCGUGGAAUGGGACGAUGGCUGUGUAAUUAUUGGUUUCUCUUGGAUGAUAUGCUCUGAAACAACAAUGUUACACAGUGAAUUGAAACUUUUGGUACCAGCUGGGUA